rnacentral:miRNA from 1 species
CCCGCCCCUGCGUACUGACUAUC